rnacentral:rRNA from 1 species
CAGUAGCCGCGGUAAUACGAAGGGGGCUAGCGUUGCUCGGAAUGACUGGGCGUAAAGGGCGCGUAGGCGGAUUGUUUAGUUAGGCGUGGAAUUCCUGGGCUUAACCUGGGGACUGCGCUUAAUACAGGCAGUCUAGAGUGAGGAAGAGGGUUGUGGAAUUCCCAGUGUAGAGGUGAAAUUCGUAGAUAUUGGGAAGAACACCGGUGGCGAAGGCGGCAACCUGGUCCUUGACUGACGCUGAGGCGCGAAAGCGUGGGGAGCAAACAGGAUUAGAUACCCCAGUAGUCCCUGUCUCUUAUAC